GAGCAAUACAUGUGUUGUAGCGACUUUUUCUCCAUUCCAGUCCAAUUUCUUUUUUGAUAUUUCUUAGAACUUCUACCGGGUUGAUUGAAUAUGGAUAUAAGUGGUGCCAAAGGAUCAUUGUCACCUUCAUCAUGCCGAUUUGGCCUAUUUCUCAAACAUGGCACGUGAUGUUCAAAAUAAUAUAAACAGAAAUGAGAAGUUUCUUUUACUAGAUAUGCUUCACAUAUUGAUCCCUCAAUCUUGGAUUUUUGUUUCACCAUCCGUUUACAUUUGCCAAUAAUCCUACAUAGCAUAAUUUCAGAUGGGAAGAAGUGUAAUCAAAACAUAUAAAGGGAAAAUAAUAAAUGGUUAUUACCUCUCAAAUGGAUACAUCCAUCUACAUUGAACAAGCCCUCUAAGUCGUGCCUCUCUUACAAGAUAAAUUGGGAGAUGUUCCAUUACAUUGAAAAAACCACAUGGAAAAUUUUUUGCA
rnacentral:lncRNA from 1 species